rnacentral:rRNA from 1 species
UACGUAGGGGGCAAGCGUUGUCCGGAUUUAUUGGGCGUAAAGAGCGUGUAGGCGGCUUGGUAGGUCUGCUGUGAAAACUCGAGGCUCAACCUCGAGACGUCGGCGGAAACCAUCUGGCUAGAGUCCGGAAGAGGAGAGUGGAAUUCCUGGUGUAGCGGUGAAAUGCGCAGAUAUCAGGAAGAACACCCGUGGCGAAGGCGGCUCUCUGGGACGGUACUGACGCUGAGACGCGAAAGCGUGGGGAGCGAACAGG